rnacentral:misc_RNA from 1 species
AACGCACGAGACCUGCGGACCUGCGGAAGGAUCAUUACAGAGUUGCAAAACUCCCAAACCAUUGUGAACGUUACCUUCUCGUUGCUUCGGCGGGCGGCCCGGGUCCUUCCCGGCGCCCCCCGGCCCCUCGCGGGCGCCCGCCGGAGGUAAACCAAACUCUUGAAUUGUAUGGCCUCUCUGAGUCUUCUGUACUGAAUAAGUCAAAACUUUUAACAACGGAUCUCUAGAUCGGAAGAGCAC